AACUGAUACUACCUGCGGGAACCUGCGGAGGGAUCAUUACUGAAGUGAUUUGGGGAUGUUGCUGGCCCUCUCUCAAGGGGGGGCACUGUGCACUCCUCGAAACAAUUCACAAUUUCCAUCACACCCCUUGUGCACACCUUGUAGGCACCCAAACCCACCUCCGGGUGGUGGGGUCCUAUGUGUUCCUUCAUCUCACACUCUGUUGAAUGGUGCCAUGGGACGCAUCUAAAGGAUUAUUUG
rnacentral:misc_RNA from 1 species